GUAAAGGACUGGGGCCCCGCAACUGGCCUCUCCUGCCCUCUUAAGCGCAGCGCCAUUUUAGCAACGCAGAAGCCCGGCGCCGGGAAGCCUCAGCUCGCCUGAAGGCAGGUCCCCUCUGACGCCUCCGGGAGCCCAGGUUUCCCAGAGUCCUUGGGACGCAGCGACGAGUUGUGCUGCUAUCUUAGCUGUCCUUAUAGGCUGGCCAUUCCAGGUGGUGGUAUUUAGAUAAAACCACUCAAACUCUGCAGUUUGGUCUUGGGGUUUGGAGGAAAGCUUUUAUUUUUCUUCCUGCUCCGGUUCAGAAGGUCUGAAGCUCAUACCUAACCAGGCAUAACACAGAAUCUGCAAAACAAAAACCCCUAAAAAAGCAGACCCAGAGCAGUGUAAACACUUCUGGGUGUGUCCCUGACUGGCUGCCCAAGGUCUCUGUGUCUUCGGAGACAAAGCCAUUCGCUUAGUUGGUCUACUUUAAAAGGCCACUUGAACUCGCUUUCCAUGGCGAUUUGCCUUGUGAGCACUUUCAGGAGAGCCUGGAAGCUGAAAAACGGUAGAAAAAUUUCCGUGCGGGCCGUGGGGGGCUGGCGGCAACUGGGGGGCCGCAGAUCAGAGUGGGCCACUGGCAGCCAACGGCCCCCGGGGCUCAGGCGGGGAGCAGCUCUGUGGUGUGGGAUUGAGGCGUUUUCCAAGAGUGGGUUUUCACGUUUCUAAGAUUUCCCAAGCAGACAGCCCGUGCUGCUCCGAUUUCUCGAACAAAAAAGCAAAACGUGUGGCUGUCUUGGGAGCAAGUCGCAGGACUGCAAGCAGUUGGGGGAGAAAGUCCGCCAUUUUGCCACUUCUCAACCGUCCCUGCAAGGCUGGGGCUCAGUUGCGUAAUGGAAAGUAAAGCCCUGAACUAUCACACUUUAAUCUUCCUUCAAAAGGUGGUAAACUAUACCUACUGUCCCUCAAGAGAACACAAGAAGUGCUUUAAGAGAGGCAUUUCAUCCUUCAUGAAGCCAUUCAGGAUUUUGAAUUGCAUAUGAGUGCUUGGCUCUUCCUUCUGUUCUAGUGAGUGUAUGAGACCUUGCAGUGAGUUUAUCAGCAUACUCAAAAUUUUUUUCCUGGAAUUUGGAGGGAUGGGAGGAGGGGGUGGGGCUUACUUGUUGUAGCUUUUUUUUUUUUUACAGACUUCACAGAGAAUGCAGUUGUCUUGACUUCAGGUCUGUCUGUUCUGUUGGCAAGUAAAUGCAGUACUGUUCUGAUCCCGCUGCUAUUAGAAUGCAUUGUGAAACGACUGGAGUAUGAUUAAAAGUUGUGUUCCCCAAUGCUUGGAGUAGUGAUUGUUGAAGGAAAAAAUCCAGCUGAGUGAUAAAGGCUGAGUGUUGAGGAAAUUUCUGCAGUUUUAAGCAGUCGUAUUUGUGAUUGAAGCUGAGUACAUUUUGCUGGUGUAUUUUUAGGUAAAAUGCUUUUUGUUCAUUUCUGGUGGUGGGAGGGGACUGAAGCCUUUAGUCUUUUCCAGAUGCAACCUUAAAAUCAGUGACAAGAAACAUUCCAAACAAGCAACAGUCUUCAAGAAAUUAAACUGGCAAGUGGAAAUGUUUAAACAGUUCAGUGAUCUUUAGUGCAUUGUUUAUGUGUGGGUUUCUCUCUCCCCUCCCUUGGUCUUAAUUCUUACAUGCAGGAACACUCAGCAGACACACGUAUGCGAAGGGCCAGAGAAGCCAGACCCAGUAAGAAAAAAUAGCCUAUUUACUUUAAAUAAACCAAACAUUCCAUUUUAAAUGUGGGGAUUGGGAACCACUAGUUCUUUCAGAUGGUAUUCUUCAGACUAUAGAAGGAGCUUCCAGUUGAAUUCACCAGUGGACAAAAUGAGGAAAACAGGUGAACAAGCUUUUUCUGUAUUUACAUACAAAGUCAGAUCAGUUAUGGGACAAUAGUAUUGAAUAGAUUUCAGCUUUAUGCUGGAGUAACUGGCAUGUGAGCAAACUGUGUUGGCGUGGGGGUGGAGGGGUGAGGUGGGCGCUAAGCCUUUUUUUAAGAUUUUUCAGGUACCCCUCACUAAAGGCACCGAAGGCUUAAAGUAGGACAACCAUGGAGCCUUCCUGUGGCAGGAGAGACAACAAAGCGCUAUUAUCCUAAGGUCAAGAGAAGUGUCAGCCUCACCUGAUUUUUAUUAGUAAUGAGGACUUGCCUCAACUCCCUCUUUCUGGAGUGAAGCAUCCGAAGGAAUGCUUGAAGUACCCCUGGGCUUCUCUUAACAUUUAAGCAAGCUGUUUUUAUAGCAGCUCUUAAUAAUAAAGCCCAAAUCUCAAGCGGUGCUUGAAGGGGAGGGAAAGGGGGAAAGCGGGCAACCACUUUUCCCUAGCUUUUCCAGAAGCCUGUUAAAAGCAAGGUCUCCCCACAAGCAACUUCUCUGCCACAUCGCCACCCCGUGCCUUUUGAUCUAGCACAGACCCUUCACCCCUCACCUCGAUGCAGCCAGUAGCUUGGAUCCUUGUGGGCAUGAUCCAUAAUCGGUUUCAAGGUAACGAUGGUGUCGAGGUCUUUGGUGGGUUGAACUAUGUUAGAAAAGGCCAUUAAUUUGCCUGCAAAUUGUUAACAGAAGGGUAUUAAAACCACAGCUAAGUAGCUCUAUUAUAAUACUUAUCCAGUGACUAAAACCAACUUAAACCAGUAAGUGGAGAAAUAACAUGUUCAAGAACUGUAAUGCUGGGUGGGAACAUGUAACUUGUAGACUGGAGAAGAUAGGCAUUUGAGUGGCUGAGAGGGCUUUUGGGUGGGAAUGCAAAAAUUCUCUGCUAAGACUUUUUCAGGUGAACAUAACAGACUUGGCCAAGCUAGCAUCUUAGCGGAAGCUGAUCUCCAAUGCUCUUCAGUAGGGUCAUGAAGGUUUUUCUUUUCCUGAGAAAACAACACGUAUUGUUUUCUCAGGUUUUGCUUUUUGGCCUUUUUCUAGCUUAAAAAAAAAAAAAGCAAAAGAUGCUGGUGGUUGGCACUCCUGGUUUCCAGGACGGGGUUCAAAUCCCUGCGGCGUCUUUGCUUUGACUACUAAUCUGUCUUCAGGACUCUUUCUGUAUUUCUCCUUUUCUCUGCAGGUGCUAGUUCUUGGAGUUUUGGGGAGGUGGGAGGUAACAGCACAAUAUCUUUGAACUAUAUACAUCCUUGAUGUAUAAUUUGUCAGGAGCUUGACUUGAUUGUAUAUUCAUAUUUACACGAGAACCUAAUAUAACUGCCUUGUCUUUUUCAGGUAAUAGCCUGCAGCUGGUGUUUUGAGAAGCCCUACUGCUGAAAACUUAACAAUUUUGUGUAAUAAAAAUGGAGAAGCUCUAAAUUGUUGUGGUUCUUUUGUGAAUAAAAAAAUCUUGAUUGGGGAAAAAAGAUGGGUGUUCUGUGGGCUUGUUCUGUUAAAUCUGUGGUCUAUAAACACAGCACCCAUAAUUACAGCAUAAUCUUCAAGUAGGGUACGGACUUUGGGGGAUUGGUGCGAGGGUAGUGGGUGAGUGGCCUACUAAAAAGCCCAGUAACCCCCACAGGAAAAUAGGGAACUUCUUUUUAAGUAGCCUCCUUUCCACUAUUUAGUAAUUGGCUGUGAGCUGGGCUGGGGGAGAAAUGGGGCGGGGUGUGUGUGUCAUUGGAAAGCUCUCUUUUUUGUUUUUUUGAGACAGUCUCACUUUGUCCCCCAGGCUGGAGUGUAGUGGCAUGAUCUCUGCAAACUGCAACCUCCACUUCUGGGGUCCAAGUGGUUGUCCUGCUUCACCCUCCCUGUAGCUGGGACUACAGGUGCACACCACCACGCCUGGCUAAUUUUUGUAUUUUCAGUUAGAGACGUGGUUUUACCAUAUUGGCCAGGCUGGUCUCAAACUCCUGACCUCGUGUGAUCCACCCGCCUGGGCCUCUGAAAGUGCUGGGAUUACAGGUGUGAGCCACCAAGCCUGGCCGAUCCUUUUAAGUUUUUAAACCAGUUAAGCUCUUUGGUUCCCCCUCAGAGUCCCAAGGUCCUGGGUCACUCAGGAUCACAUUUUCCUUUAAUCAGUUGUCACUGGUCCCCUUUUGUCCCUUUGAACGUGCUGUGGGAUUAGUAGCAGCAUCUGGCUGUUGGAAGGACUGGCUGGGAUCUCAGGUGAAAUACCCUCCCUGGCCCUCCUUACCCUUAAGAUCUCCCUGAAAAGUCAGACCUUGCUUAUUGGAGUUUGAGAUGCAUUCUAGUAAACCCAGACCUACCAGAGAGAGGGACCCACGUCUGAAGAAUCUUCCAGCCUGGGGAACCUGUGACUGGCCACACCCUUAGCCUAAUGGAGGGGCCUCAGAAGCAGAACUACCUUUUUUUUUUUUUUUAAUGGUAUUACAUUUUGCAAAUGGAGAGGUAGACUCUGAUUGGGCCCCUUUUGACAACGCAGCAGAGCUGAGGUUUGAAUCCUAGUCAGUCAACACUUCAACCCCUAUGUUGCUGUUUCUUCAAUGUCUAGAAUGUUCUGAUAGAUGAAGCAAUGGCCCGGCAGGUCAGCAGCACACCAACCCCCAACCUACCCAGCCUGUAUAGGCCUUGGCCACAGGAGCUUUCUCUUCCCUUGAAGUGAUCUAAUGGGGGAUGGGGUAUCUGUCUCGCUGGUUAUGAAAGAAGCUGAGCUAGGUGCUCUCCUAAGUUGCUUAAGUGUCUUCUGAAUUGAUGCCCAGUCAGUUUCGUAUGGAGAAAGGUCUCUGUUUUUCCAAAGCAGAAGGUUCUGUGGAAGCACAAAUACUUUACUGGAGAGCAAAGGAGUACGAGUAGGAAUUGGGGGCCACGCACAGUGGCUCACGCCUAUAAUCCCAGGACUUUGGGAGGCCGAGGUGGGCAGAUCACCUGAGGUCAGGAGUUCGAGACCAGCCUGACCAACAUGGAGAAACCCCAUCUCUACUAAAAAUACAAAAUUAGCCGGGCGUGGUGGCGUAUGUCUGUAACCCCAGCUAUUCGAGAGGCUGAGGUAGGAGAAUCGCUUGGACCCGGGAGGCGGAGGUUGCAGUGAGCUGAGAUUGCGCCACUGCACUCCAGCCUGGGCAACAAGAGCGAAACUGUCUCAAAAAAAAAAAAAAAAGAAGAAGAAAGGCUGGGCACGGUGGCUCAAGCCUGUAAUCCCAGCACUUUGGGAGGCCGA
rnacentral:lncRNA from 1 species